CACACUCCACUUGUGCAGGGUCGGCCUUGGUCUUGCCAUAUAUGUUGACAUGACAUGGUUUGAAAUUGUGGUGGAAAAAUGUGAAAUUUAUACCACACCCUAGAUAUACCAAUCUUGCGUACAAGGAUGAAUCUUUAAUUCGAGAGA